rnacentral:rRNA from 1 species
AUUGAACGCUGGCGGCAGGCCUAACACAUGCAAGUCGAGCGCGCGGCGGAAGGGUGAGGAAUGUAUGGGGACAGCCCGCUCGAGGGGGAUAACUACUGGAAACGUGAGCUCAUACACCAUACUCUAGGAUAACCCAUAGGGGCUUAGCUAGUAGGUGAGGUAAUGGCUCACCUAGUCGACGAUCCCUAGCUGGUCUGAGAGGAUGAUCAGCCACACUGGGACUGAGACAAGGCCCAGACUCCUACGGAGGCAGCAGUGGGGAAUAUUGCACAAUGGGCGCAAGCCUGAUGCAGCCAUGCCGCGUGUAUGAAGAAGGCCCUAGGGUUGUAAAGUACUUUCAGUGGGGAGGCGUUACCGGCAGAGGAAGAACCGGCUAACUACGUGCCAGCAGCCGCGGUAAUAC